CUUCCUCCUGCUCUCAGGAAAAACUGAGGAAACGCGCCUGGUUCCAGGGGUCGGCGGGGACCGUGGAGACGCUGCCAGCAUCCUCAACAGCUUGGAAAUCCCAUCACCUUGGUUCCCUGAGACUUGGAGGACUAGUAGGAACUGACAGCUGGCUGACAGAAAACUUAUCCAGGGAGAGAAGAGACAAAAGUGAAGUGUGAAAUUUUGAAUAAUGUUUUCAGAUUCCACUGAUGUUUACCAAAUGAGAAGAAGCAUAGCAUCUUAGAAAUAUGAGAUCCUUAAAAAACAACAUUUCCAGUAUUUUAUCUGUUAUUUUAAAUAGGCUAUGGAUUGGAGAGAUGAUAAACAUUUCACAAAGCUAAUUCUGAGAUAAACACUUUAAAAAAGAAGAAUGCAGUGAGUGUGAAGACAAAACAAGAAAGUAUUUCUCUAGACAGUGUCUGAUUUCAUUACCACAUCCCCAUGGAAUGCACGUUCUAUGAUUGUCAUUCCACGCAUGAGGAACUCAAGACUCCUAGAGGCUGAGAGACUUGAUCAGGGCACAUAGCCAAUAAGUGUGAGAGUCACGAUUGACACCUGUCGGAUGCCUGAACUUUCUGCAGUUGAACUAUUAUCUGUAUCGAAGGUACAACUGAAUUUGGGGAUUGCUUAUAGUCUAGACAUAACAAAGGGAUUGACUGGAUGUUAGUAUGCUAUCAGCACUCAGUGUCCAAUCAGGAUGCUCCAAGGAGGAAAGAACGUUCUAGGCAAGAGAAGUGGUCUUCGUCAAAAGUAGAGUUCAAUUCUAUGAAAAGGAAAUAUGUCAGACAUAAAUAUCAGUGUUUUUGAUGUACAAAUGGAGAAGGUGAGAUAAAAGAACCCCUGGAAAAGGAUGAAGGGCUAAAGAGAAGGGGAUUCUUCCAUUCAGGCACUGAUUACAGAAAGAACCUGAACAUGUAUUGUACAUUUGGAGAAUAAAGUAUCUAACACCUUUUUUCUCUGACAAGUUUAAUGUCUAGGCAAUUUCAAAAGUUCUCUACUAAACGUUAAAAAGUGAGCAAACAGGCUGGGCGCAGUGGCGCACGCCUGUAAUCCCAGCACUUUGGGAGGCUGAGGCAGGCAGAUCACCUGAGGUUGGGAAUUCGGGAUCAGCCUGACCAACGUGAAGAAACCCCAUCUCUACUAAAAAUACAAAAUUAGCUGGGUGUGGUGGCACACACCUGUAAUCCCAGCUACUCCAGAGGCUGAGG
rnacentral:lncRNA from 10 species